rnacentral:lncRNA from 10 species
CUAGGCAAAGGGGGACAGCAAGGCCUGGAGGGAGGGCUGGGGACAAUCGGUCCUCAGUGCUCAGAGCUGACUGGCGAAAGUGACAGUAAAACAAUCAGGCAUCAGGUAAGAGCCAGAGGCAAGAGUCAGUGACCCCGAAGAGCACGUGGGUGUUCCCAGCGGCUCCACAGGUACCUAGGGUUAAGGUAGGAAAAGUUAAACAGGUCACUGAUACCGAGAAGUCAGUGUUGAUCAAUAACUUUGAAAAGAGAGGAUAGGGCUGAGCGUGGUAAUCCCAGCACUUUGGGAGGCCGAGGUGGGUGAAUCACCUGAAGGUUGGGAGUUUGAGACCAGUCUGGCCAACAUGGUGAAACAACCGUCUCUACUAAAAAUACAAAAAAAUUAGCUGGGCGUGGUGACGGGCGCCUGUAAUCCCAGUUGCUGGGGAGGCUAAGGCAGGAGAAUCACUUGAACCAGGGAGGCGGAGGUUGCAGUGAGCUGAGAUCAUGCCAUUGCACUCCAGCCUGGGCCACAGCAGUGGAGAGGAUAGGUCCAAGUGACAGAAAGGGAGGAUUGGAAUUAAUUUUUUUUUUUUUUUUUUGAGACGGAGUCUCGCUCUGUCCCCCAGGCUGGAGUGCAGUGGCGUAAUCUUGGCUCACUGCAAGCUCUGCCUUCCGGGUUCACGCCAUUCUCCUGCCUCAGCCUCCCGAGUAGCUGGGACCACAGGCCCCUGCCACCACGCG